CCCUUAGAUGUUCUGGGCUGCACGCGCGCUACACUGAUGCAUGCAACGAGUUUUCGACCUUGCCUGAAAAGGUUGGGUAAUCUGUUUAACAUGUGUCGUGAUGGGGAUAGACCAUUGCAAUUAUUGAUCUUCAACGAGGAAUUCCUAGUAAGCGCGAGUCAUCAGCUCGUGCUGAUUAUGUCCCUGCCCUUUGUACACACCGCCCGUCGCUCCUACCGCUUGAGUGAUCCGGUGAAUGAUUCGGACCAGCGUGCUGCUCAGAUCCUGCGCAGUGUGCUGGGAAGUCUAGUGAACCUUAUCACUUAGAGGAAGGAGAAGUCGUAACA
rnacentral:rRNA from 1 species